UGUUGUGUGUGUGUGUGAGUGUGUGUGUGUGUGUAUGUGUGGGACUGUCUAUGUAUGUAUACCGAUUCUGGGGCCGACAAUCAAUGCCAAGCAGCUGUUGGAGUCAGCUGUUUUAUGAGCUGGUUGGUCCUUGGCCAAAACUCUUAGCCGAAUGCAGAUGCUGGCGGCCAAGAACGAAGCAGUAAAAGUCCGAAGACUACACUGAGAGAAUUAGUGGGCAUCAAUCCGAGCCCAGAACGAUUCCAUUGCAUAAGAAAAGGCCCCGCCGUGGCAGUGUAUCAACUGUUUUGGAUACCCCAGGGUCGGCCGCAUAAGACACUAAAUGAAAAAUCAAUUUGUUUGCUCUCCACAGACAGACGAGGUCCGGUCCCAGACGGCCAGUCGGCAAAUGAUCGUUGCGAGGGGCACAUCGUCUGAACAUUCUCCCCAAACUGCAGGUGUCGUCGUGAAAUUUCUUCAUAGUCUACGAUUUAUUCUUGCGUGAUUGCUUACAUCGAACAGUUUGGGGUUUGUUAUAGUAAAGAAAUUAAACGAGUGCUUAAUAACUACAGACUGACUAACUAACAGACAGUCGUUCGAAAUUCCGUGAGCCUCGAAGAACCCGAUUCUGUUAAAUAAAAUGAUACAUCUACUUGUACAUAUUUGGUAGUUCAGCGAUCGAGAGAUUGUGACGAUGCGGUCAAAGUUAUAGUCAUUGUCCAAGGCGUUU
rnacentral:sRNA from 1 species